rnacentral:lncRNA from 1 species
UUUUUUGUCUUUUUUAAAAUUUAAUACAAUAUGGUUAAGUUUAUUUACAAAUUUGAUUUAAGAAAAGAUGUUUAAAAUUCAAUGGCAUAAGGCCAAAGUUUCUAAUCAUUAAAGCAUGUCUAAGUUUGAAAUCACAAGCAAAGAAUUUUUUUGAAAGGAGGGAGAGAUUUUGAAAUUAAAGAAAAUGGGAGGAGAUGAA